AAUUGAUUUGGCAAAAGCAUCUGAUUUGACCAUCUAUCUUCUCUACGCUUUCCGGUUUCGCAAUCGUAAGAUAUUCUUGGGAAAUGUCUUUGGAAAAAAUCAAACCGCAUCCAAGAAUAUGACUGAAGUGUCCAGAAUUAUCGCCAAAAUGCUGUACGAGCAGAAACACGGAGCUUCCAUUGGUUCCGGCGCAAUCGCGUUGAACGACACCCUUUGCGAGAAUCUUUUCGCCUCAGUGUACGUUUGCGUGCUAAACGGAAUUUUCUUGAUUAUUGUUGGACGCCCUGGAUCAUCAAAAUCUUUGUCAGUGGAAAUCCUCAAGCUUGUUUUUUCUCCUGGCAACCAUACGCUACGGCACAGUUUAGGAGAUUGCCGCCCAUCACUGAACUUUAUUUCCAGUGCUCUCCACGUUCAACAUCUUCCGGAUUCAAAGCCCUUUUUGAAUCAACCCAGCGACUCAGUGUUGGCCCGAAGACUAUGCUGGCCAUGGUUGUGCUGGAUGAACUCGGCCUGGCCGACAUGUCGCCAGAAAAACCAAUCAUAGUGUUGCACGUCGAACUAGAACGCCAAUCAUUUUUGACAUCCGGCGAAAAGCAACAAUCCCCCUACUCGGUAGUUGCCCUCAGUAAUUGGGUGGUGGACGAGAGAAAAUGUUAAUUGAUUCUUUCAAGUCAUUGCUGCCGGAAAUGCUCGGUCCAGUUUUACAAGCAAGUCUAGUUAGCUUACGUUUAAGCUUGGGCCAGUUCUACAGUGGUGUACCUGUACGGACGGCCCUGGGACUGCAGAGCAAUCAACUUUUGAUUUAUUACUGAAAGAGCGUUUGCUGGCACAGCUAAUGAGGAACCUAAUUACCUGGAACGUGGUCGAUGCCGUAAGCGACGCAAGCUUCGAUUCGUCGUCGUUAAUAGAAGGCUUGUGGGGUGUUUUCAAACACAAAAUCAGCAAUCCACUUGUUCAUCUUUUACUCGUCAGUGACUUCUGGUGCAUUUCUGACCAGCCUUCAACAAAGCUGUGGUGUGAUUUCGUCAACACCAACUAUCCUCACCGACUGAUGUCGCUCAAUUCAUCCGAUUCCCUUGUCCAAAUGCAAAUCGUUUUCCGCACUUGCACGCAACCCUUCGGUCGCUUACUGGCGUCUUUCGACAUCCAUCUCAAUGGACCGUUAAAUUCGCUCCUUGAUCGUGUCGCUAAAAGCGAAGAUGCAAAAUCCCAGGAAAUUACAGAAGCUUAUUCCCUAGAUUGGUUUUUACUUCGUAUCCCUCCACAUUUAAACCACUGCUUGAAAAAACUGCCCUUGUCGAAGAUGAGUUAUAUUGUGUAAAACAUGUCUGAAGACCCGAAGAAUUUUUUCAUCGAGUGGGAACAGCGCGAAGCUAAUAUGGUUACUGCUCUUGAACUGGUCAGCAUUGCGUCUUUCGCCGAGGCGGAUGUGAUCUAUGGUGACAUUUGGGGCAGUGCUACUGGUCGGAUGCGUAACUGGACAUUUCUCACAAAGACUGGGACUCGUUCGUCACUCGCGUCAUUGGCUUCUUCAGAUUCUUUCAAUUCUCAAGGGAAAUCUAUGCAGGCAGUUUCGUCCAAUGAAGUGAGUCCGGCCCUGUCGAGUUUGUUGGAUCGCGUGGGCGACUUGCCAUAAGUUUGACUGCGCUUGAGAAUCAGGAAAUGUGUCUUGCUAUUUGAUCCCGAGUCGAAAAUCUAACUUCCGGAUUUGCAAGUUCCCUACUUUCGUCGACUGUGUGCCGACACAAUAACAUCGCCACGUCUUUCUUUUUCGUCCAGCUCUCUCUCUCUCUUCAAUACUCGAUCUUUUUUAAUAUUAUAUGAUUAUUCCGCCCAGCUGCCGCGUACACCCAAGAGACUGUUUGAGAAACUGACGGAGUUAGUUGUCACUUCGAUCCUUCGGCCAAGAGUUGCUACUGGAAAUAAAGCAAGAAGAUUCGUACGCCAGGCCAAUUAAAACGCAUUGCUAAGAGCACGUCAUUGAACUUGUGAUUCUCCUAAAGAACUUGCUAAAGGCGAAUACAUUUUGGUUAGCAAUCA